CUAUUUAUGUUACUCACAAUCAAUAAGUUACAAUACUGCAGCUCUUAAUUGCAAAUAUAUUUUUAAAUUCUACUUAGUGUAAUUUGCAAUUAAAUUAAAUUCAUCAUUUAUCUUUCUUAUUCAAGUUGUUUUUUAACGUGAAUUAAUAACUUUUUCCUCGUUAUUUUAUGGUGAUUUACGUGAAAUUGAGUGCACUUGUUACCCACUGGAUGGACGUGUUGUGAUGUCCCAUGAAAAGAGUGCCAACCGUGAUGGAACCACCAACAGAAUGACGAACCGCGACCAACAGAAACAACAAUGCAAAGAUAUAUAGUAAAUGUAUGUUUUGUUGAUGUAAUUUAUGAUUGAAUAAUGUAAUAAAUAUUUUACUCAUUACUCACUUUAAUUGCCACAUCCAGUUUUCUUUCACAGUUGUGCUUUUAAUUAUUUGAGAUUGGCCACACCCUUUUAUGUACCUAUGCAAUAUUUUUAAAAUAAAUAUGAAUUUUAGCAUUUAAUAUUAUUGUGCAUGUAUAAGUCCUAUCCUUAGGUUUAGUAUUCUAUUGAAACUGAAAUUUAGCAUUACCGGUUAUUAUUUAUGCAGGAGGGGGAGAGGAACUUUUUCUUUCCUGAAUUUUUAAAAUUGAAGCCCCUACCAAAAAAGCAGAAAUUAAAUAAUGACAUCCCUCCUCCAUUUCACAUCAGCCAUGGCCAUGACAAUAGGUAAUAAGAUUAUAAACCUCAUUAAGCUUCAUUAUCUAUUGUUUGGAUUGCAUUCGACGCGACCGAAAUUCGACGUAUAAUUAAAACAGGAAUUAGUCGCAACAUUUCAACCAAAUGGAGACCAGGCUAAGCAAUUUCCUUCAAAUUUAUUUACAACCCAACAUUUUUACCUCCCUCCCCCAUUUCUUGAAUAAUUUAUUAAAUUUAAUAAUAUAUUUAUUUAUGCCACUCUUAUUUUUGCAAUCCCCACAACAUUAUAAUGACCGGUCCCGUAAAGCUCUGUAUCGUAACGUUGUUAAUCAAAGCUAUAUGUAAUCGUUAAUAAUUCACGAGAAAAGCAUGACCGUGAGGAAGCCUUAUAUCUGCUAAAUUAAUAAACAACUAUUGAAUGAGGUCGAGUAGGAUAUGAGGAAUUUGAUUAAGGCCGAAGUGUGUCGACCUCAACUCGACCUCAUUCAAUAGUCUUAUUAUUUAUUUGUCGGAAUACACAAAAAAGGUCGGCGAACUUUCCCUUUGAGGAAGCCAUUUGUAUUUUCCCGCUUUUGGCAUAAGCCGCAUAAAUUAGCGUGACGUCAUAGCGUGUUAUAUUGUUUUUCAAUAAACCACGAAAUUACGUCAGACGUGAUAUAUUUGUUUUCAAUAUUCCACGGUGAUAUCAUAACUCCAAAUUUGGGCAACCACCGAGCGGGCAUGACGAUUUCACCGACAGCUCUUAGCCAAUCAAAACUCCUGAAUUAUUUUCAAUAAAUAAUAAUCAUGUUUAUUUAAAUAUAAUCCUGCUAAAUAUAAUUCAUAAUUUUAAGAUGAUUUAUAUAUAAAGUAUUCGCAUACAAUACGACUGUUUCUCUUAUUUUGUAGUUAAGUAAUAAAUAAUUCAUUGCAAUUAUGAUCUAAUAGACAGUUUUUUAAUUUCAAUAGGUCCAUGUGAUGUGAUAAGAAAAGUCAACGAUCCAAGCUAGUGGAGGUCAGGAAGGAAGACCAGAAUGAAAGACUUAUGGAUGAUAUGAACCCAAGAAAAGAAUGACAAUUCGCAACAAUCAAAACCCACAAAUUGCUAAUGUGAAAGUAUAGUGAAAAUUUUGCAAAUGUAAGUUAAAAGGC